UUGUUGUGUUAUAUGACUAUCUUAGAGAUAGUACAUUGCCUGCAACCAAACAGAUUGGAGGAUAUUUGUCUUUAUUUCAGACUUGGAUUUAUGAACAUUUUCCUGAUAUUUGUAAACGGGAUAUGGAUGAACAUAUUUCCUCGAUGCCACAGAUGUUUCGUUGGACUGCAAAACAAACAUCUGAGAAUGUUGCAUAUUACAGGGCAAAGUUGGAUGCUUUGAGGGAUACAGAUAUUAUCUGGGCACCAGAUUACGAUGAGAACGCUGUGACACGAUUUCAGUCUGUGUCAUUAUUUACAGGAUACAUUCGUUGGUGUUUCACGAUGGUUCCGUAUUUACCUGAGAGGUGCAUACGACAGUUUGGGUAUACUCAACACAUUCCUCCUACACCACCGAUGCUUGUUGCACGUGAUGUCGACGUUGAAU